rnacentral:rRNA from 1 species
UACGUAGGGUGCGAGCGUUGUCCGGAAUUACUGGGCGUAAAGAGCUCGUAGGUGGCGUGUCGCGUCUGCCGUGAAAGCCCAUGGCUUAACUGUGGGUCUGCGGUGGAUACGGGCAGGCUGGAGGCUGGUAGGGGCAAGCGGAAUUCCUGGUGUAGCGGUGAAAUGCGCAGAUAUCAGGAGGAACACCGGUGGCGAAGGCGGCUUGCUGGGCCAGUUCUGACGCUGGAGGAGCGAAAGCGUGGGGAGCGAACAGG